rnacentral:rRNA from 1 species
AACGUAGGACACAAGCGUUAUCCGGAGUUAUUGGGCGUAAAGAGCGUGUAGGCGGCUAGGUAGGUCCGCUGUUAAAACUCGAGGCUCAACCUCGAGAGGUCGGUGGAAACCAUCUAGCUAGAGUCCGGAAGAGGAGAGUGGAAUUCCCGGUGUAGCGGUGAAAUGCGCAGAUAUCGGGAAGAACACCCGUGGCUAAGGCGGUUCUCUAGUACGGUACUGACGCUGAGACGCGAAAGCGUGGGGAGCGAACAGG